UUUUGGCUCAACAUUAAUAUUUUGAACAAUGUCUGGUUAUGUUUUUUUCUCAUAAUGUAACAGGUAUUGUAGUCCAUAUGUCUUGGCCAAGGCUUAUAAGGCUGCUUGUAGAGAUAAUAUAAUACCUAUAUUGUGUGAAGAUGAAUGGGAGCCAAUUCAGGUACUAUACAUUUUUUUUUUUCUGAAUUAAUAUUGUGGCAUGGUUUUUUCUUAAUAUUUCUUAUUUCUUAAAAUGCAGGAAAAUAAUACUGUAUUCCCCCCAUUAGGGAGAGACAACCAGGCAGGCCUAAAGUGAAUAGGAUUAGAAGUGCACAAGAGGAUCCAGAUAGGAGAACUGUGAAGUGCAGUUCAUGUGGUGGGUUUGGACACAACAAAAAAGGUUGUCAAGGAGGUCCUGUUGGUGAAAAGGUUCCAUUACAGGAUAAUAACAAUGUUGUUGAGAAAGAAAGAAAUAAGGGUGGGAGACCUAGAACUAGACCGUUGAAGAAUACUAAUCUUCCACCUAGAUAUCAACCACCGGAAGAUAAUGGGAGGGGGAGGAGAAGAGGAAGAGCGAGGGGUAGGAGUGGAAGAGGUAGAACACAAUCAUCUAAUGGUAGGGGGGCUGGAAGAGGUAGGGGUGAAAACAUAGUUGAUAUUGAUCAAGCUGAACCAUCAUUGGCUGAAAUGUUUGCUGGCAGAGGAGAAGGUGGUAGAGUAAGUGGAGCUGGAAGAGGAAGAGCUAGUGGAGGUGGGCCCGAUCAUAUUUCUCCAAAGUUUCCUUCCUUAACAAAAAAAUCUCUUAUAUUUUUCUCCUAAUCUGUUUCCAAAACCAAGUUUCCUUUUUGCACAAAAAAUCUCUAUGAUUCUUCUCCCAGUCUCUUCCAAAAUCUAUAUAUCGUCUUUGACAAAAAAUCUCAACGAUUUUUCUCCUAAUCUCUUUCAAAAACCAUGUAUUAUAAUAUCUUCUCCUCUACCUUAAUCUUAGGUAGAAAUAUCUUCUUAACCUUAUUUGGUUUCAUUAUUUAAGCGUUUUUAUCUUCCAAAAAUGAAAUCAUCUCUUUUUUUUUAUCUUUAAACACCUCUACUUGAAGUAC
rnacentral:lncRNA from 1 species